AUCCUUUUCCGGUUAAUGAGCGUGAUAAUUGGGUUCUCACACGCUUGCGUUAUAUGUGCCUCCCCUUAAACCUUGUUACGACCUGGUCUGAUG
rnacentral:snoRNA from 1 species